UAAUACGUAGGUGGCAAGCGUUGUCCGGAAUUAUUGGGCGUAAAGCGCGCGCAGGCGGUCUUUUAAGUCUGAUGUGAAAGCCCACGGCUCAACCGUGGAGGGUCAUUGGAAACUGGAAGACUUGAGUGCAGAAGAGGAGAGUGGAAUUCCACGUGUAGCGGUGAAAUGCGUAGAGAUGUGGAGGAACACCAGUGGCGAAGGCGACUCUCUGGUCUGUAACUGACGCUGAGGCGCGAAAGCGUGGAGAGCAAACAGGAUUAGAUACCCUGGUAGUCCACGCCGUAAACGAUGAGUGCUAAGUGUUAGAGGGUUUCCGCCCUUUAGUGCUGCAGCUAACGCAUUAAGCACUCCGCCUGGGGAGUACGACCGCAAGGUUGAA
rnacentral:rRNA from 1 species